UACCACCUUACAAGAUCCGUUCGGAUAUUUUUUACAUUUUGGACCGGAUACGGAUCGGGUUUUUCGGUUCGGGUUCGGUUCGGAUUUCGGGUUACGGAUGUAAGCUUCAAGUAAUAACCUCACGUUAAAAAGAGAAAUUACAAGAAUUGAUCUACUAUUUUGGCAAAAAAAAAGAAUCGAUCUACAAUAAUCUACACUCUAUCUAUUAUUCAGCAUCAACCUCACAGCGAUUCUACAGAUCUCCCCCAAGUGCAUUUCAUUGCAUACAAAUCUGAGAGAUCCAAUGGAUUUAAUUACUCUACAAAGAGAAACAUGAAUCAACAAUUAUUUUGACAUAAAACUCUUCUGCAACAUAAGGAGUUCCUAAAGCUAAAAAGCUGAUGAACUAACAAUCAAAGAUGGAUAUAAACUUCACGAAGUAACAUCAAGUAUGCAUCACAGCGUGUCAAAGAUCUUGAAGGACAUGCAAUUUUUUUUUGAAAUAAAAAAAAAAUCCAUGCAGAAAAGUUGUAACAUUGUUCGUCCUUUGAUUUGGUUGUCUCAUGUAUCUAGCAACACACAAACCAAGAAAACCACACAAGAUUCGCAGGAAAUAUUUUUUAAAAAUAAUUAUAUUUUUUUCUGAAAAAAAGUUAGUAAUUAACAAUAAUAAUGGAAAACCCAGAAUAGGAAAAGUCGUACUUAUCACCGGAGGAGAAGCUGUAGAGUUUUCUGGAGGCGGAGACGACAAGAAGAGCGACGGAUGCGUCACAGAGAACGGAAAGCUGACGAGCUUUCUCGAUGAGACCGUUGCGUCGUUUGGAGAAGGUAACUUGUCGGCUACUUUUGUUCUCAAUCGGCUUGAUUUCAAGUUUCUUUCUCCCCAUGGCUUCUGUCUCCAACAGGGCUUUGCGCCCUAAUUUGAUCUUGAGGUCCGGUUUCCACUAGCCGGAGAUACUGAGUGUUUUAUGUUUUCUUUUUGCUUUUUUCCUUUUAUUUCAUUCUAUUUUUGUGUCCAUAUACUUCUACUUUUCUUUCCUCGGGCAAGGGGUUCCUUUUUUUCUAUUAGGGUCCCAGAUUCGGACCCGUCUAGGUAUAUUUUUUUUUAUAUAAAUUUAAUUUUAAUAUUUGUAUCUUUUCAGUUAUGUUCAUGUUCUUUGUAUAAUAUUUUUCCUAAAUGAUUAAUAAAAGAUUUUAAUAGUUGUAUUAAAAUAGUUGGAUCACAACUAUAUCAAUAGCUCAUGUUUCUGUUGAGGUUGCAUAACUGUACAUUUGUACCAUAUAUAUUUCAAAAAUUAUUUUUAAAGUUUUAUCCUAAAGUUUUGCAAUAUAUUAUAUUUUUUUAAUAUUUAUCUAACAUAAUUCGUCAAAAAUAUUCGUAUCCAAAAAACCCAACUUGGAAUCAAACCGAAAAUCAAAUUCUCGUACUCUAUCAGACCUGGUCCAUAUACUCGGAUGGUUCUUAACGCGAUGUCCGAAAACCAAUAUAAAAUCCAAUCUGCCCUAAAAACCAAACAAAAUUUUCGAGAACCGUUUGAAAAAAUAAUUUUCAAUAAAACAACAAGACAUUUCCAGAGUGUUGUCAACCUAAACUCACUUCCUCGCUUUAUUUGAACGUGGAAAGAUGGACUCCACUCUUUGCUUUCUCUUCAAUCACUCUCAUUGGAUGACACUUAGCACUCUAGGCUAACAUUUAGUUAGUUGUUAACUUUAUAAAAUUACUAGGGGCAUCGGAAUAUUAUUUUUUUGUUGUUAAUUAUUAUUUUUCGGAUGAUAUAGCUAGCUAAUUAUGUAAUCGUCUUUAUUUGCUAAGAACAUUAUUUGGUAUUUUUAUUAUGUUAUGUAGUAAUAGGUGAUAUGCUAACACAUUAUGUGUUUGUUUUUUUAAUAGUGUGUUGGUGUAGGUAUAAUAGUACCUUAUUAGUGGUGGAGUGAGUUUGUAAUGUAAUGCAUAUUGAAUUUCAAUAAUUUUACAUUUAGGCAUUUGUUGAAUUUAAGGCUAAUAGUUUCAGGGUAAAAAUUAAUAUUUUUUCUAAUUAUUUGAACAUUACUUUUUAAAGAUGUUUUGUGUUCUCUCCCUAUAUUUUUACAUUGAGCCGUCACCAUCUAUGCAUUUCGUUUACCUUUCCGUUAUGCUGUGAUUCUCGCCAUCACCGAAAAAGACUCACAUAUGUGCUCUUGUUUUUCCUCACCUUUUUCUCCUCUUUUUCCUUAGAUUUCGGCUCAUGUUAGGAACUGCAUCUCUUUGGGUUGGGUCAGAGUUUAGUCGUCUUUGAAGUUGUUUUCCUCGUCGUUGGCUUACCAUCGAUAGUCCCUUCUCGUCUUAGUUUUCAAGAUAUGGUUUUUGGUGAUCUGACUUCUACAGCUCGAGGACAGCUCCGCGAUUGAAUGAUUUCGUUUUGUCUACCCUUCCAUCUAUGUUCCCUCAUCUCGUUGCAACUUUCAUGGCUGCUUGCGUCUCGGUGACUCUCCCUUUUGCCAUGUUUGCCACUCCAGAUUUGGAUAGUGUUCUCCUCCGAAUAUGCUCUGUAGAUUUGGAAGAUUGUUUUUGGUCUCAAGUCUGGGCUCUGGUUUCUCGGGGGUUGGUUUCCGUUCUCCCUCACUCAGGUUGUUCUCUUCUUCCCUUGCUUCCCUUAGUAUAAGUGUGUGGUAUUUGUCUCUUGGAGUUUUGGUUCAUUCUAUCCAGAGUUUUGUGGUUCUUCACUUGCAUAGACGUCUUGUUUGUGCUUGUUUAGUUUGUGAGGUAAUUCUUACCUCUUAGCUGGUGGUUGUCCUUAUCAUUCGUUAUGUAUAUCUCUUCCUGCUUCGUGGUGAUUUUAGCCUUCUGUUGAUUAUUUUUCCUCUAACCCGCUUUCUUGGUUCUUUGCAUUGGUCUUUGAUCACGCUCCUUUGUGUUCGAGCGAUUGCUUUAUCUCAAGAUUAUCUUUAUACAUUUUUCUGACUUUUGAUUGUUCUGACCAAGACACUCAAUGAUAAAGUGGGGUAAGUUAAUUUUCGUUCUUGAUCGCCUUUGAGCUCUGGUUCUUUAUUGAGUUAGUGUUACUUUGGUAUUUUUUUCUCUAUGACAAUGAAGGUUUUAUGUUUAGAUUAUGUGUUUUGCUUUAGUUUGGUUAAUAUUAAGAUAAAUAUAUAGUUGUAAAUGAAAUAAUAGAAAAUAGUAAAAAAUAAUAAAAUAGCGAAAGUUUAUGUUAUUUUAGCAGUGAAUAAAUUAAAUAUUAAAAUACAUUUAUAUUUUUUUACUUAUUUAUUUAUUCGUUUUGCAAUUUUUUAAACAAUAAAAUAGAUUAUCAAAUUUCAAAUGAUGAUAGUUAGUGUAACUAGGAUUAAAUAGUGCAUAAUUAGAAAAUAAUGAACCAAAUUGCAAUAGUUUAAAAGAAGAAGGAUCUAAAAUGUACAAAGACAAAAAAAAAAAAGGACACAUGUCAACAAACCCUCAUUCCACAUGUCAUAAGAAGAGAUAAAAGUCUACUUUAUAUAUAUAGAUUUGAUUUAGCCUUCAAGUCGCAAUUAUUGGUGAUCGUUAAGACUCUUCACACCACAAAUCUCAUACUUUAUAUAUAACUAGAGCUAUUCCGGCGCGUAGUCGGAUGUUUUAUUUUUUAAUGAAUUUUAAAUUAAUUUUAUGGUUUUAGUAAAUAAAAUAUUUUCAAAUAUAUGAAGAUGAAAAGAUGUUGAAAGAGAAUGAUAACUUUUCCGAUUCAUUUGAUAGUGAAUAGUGAUAGUGGUGUAUCAAUUUGUUUUGAAGUUGGUUAGGUCAAAGAGGAAUAGCAUAAGUAGUUUUCAUUGAUCGAUUCAAUAAAAAUAGAAUAAAUAGCUGAUCGUCGUAAUAAAAUUAAUAUAGUUGAACUUUAAACAUAAAGUAAAUUUGAUGUUCGAAAAAGAAAAAUAUAGGGUUGUGAAAAUAAAUUGGACCCGAAAAUCCGAACCGAAUCCGAUCCGAUAAAAUUAAUCUGAAUUGAUCUGAACCUUACAUAAAUACCGAAUGGAUAUUCUUUUAUGGUAUUUUGGGUUAUGAGUUUUAUCCGAACCGAAUCCGAAUCUAAAUGAAUAUUUGAUAGAACCCGAAAUAUUCAAAAUCCAUAAAGAAUUUAUACCAAACAUGAUUUCAAUUCCUAACAUUUCAUGGAAAUUAGCAGCCAAUAUUUUGCCAUCCACGAUGAUGAUGAGCUUGUUAUGGUUUGCAUAGUGAAUAAAUAUUUUAUUUAUAGAACAUAAAUAAACUAUUAAGUAUCAUCUGCAUAGUACAUAAUAGUUACCGCAUUUUGAAUUUUUAUUGAGACUAUAUUGAGUUAAAACAUUUCAAAUGAAGUAUACAAACACUAAGUGAAUUUUACUCUAAAUUUACUUAGGAUGAUCAAGCAUGAUGAAUGUUCUUAUUGAACAUUUUUUCUCUUGAGGUGUGUCCACGUUUCGUGAGAGUUUAUUUAAUUAUUUAAGUUUAUCAUUUCACAAAUGUUUUAUAUGGAUGUGAUUUGUUUUUAAUUUUUUGUCAAAAAAUUGCUCUCAUAUCAUCUCUUUUAAAUUAUUGUCAUUCAUUAGCAUCGUGUUUACUUGAUUAACGAAAACAACUUAAGUUAUAUAUUUAUAUGUUUUGAAUACAUAAAUGGAGUAUGUUUUAGAUAAUUAAAGAUGGAAAAAUAAAUUCAGAUUUGUGCUUUACAUCAUUCAUUUUUUUCUAUUUUACAGAGUUUCUCACUAUUCACGCAAAUAUAUCUUUUAUAUUUUUAUUGCUUGUUUCUGACUAUUUUGAAACUUUUGGUUCUAAUUAUGUAUUAUUUUUGGUGAUCGUUUUCAAUAAAUUUAUUAGUUUUUCUUGGCUUUAGUUUAAACCAAAAAAAAGAAGAAAAAUAGAUGAGUUACAAUGUUUUGGUUUUAAUUUUUGUCUACAUUGGUUUGUGAUAUCUUGCUUAUUUACAUUGUUUUAUCCAUUCACCCAUGUGCAUUUUGAUCAUAUAGACUAAGAUUUAGCCAUGUUUAGGUUGCAUUUUGCAUACAUGAGUCUUUAUCAGGUAUUGGAGUACCACAUGGAGUUCUUGGAGGCAUUUGGGUGCAUUUGGAGCUCAAAAGAAGUGUUUAAAGCGAUCAUUGGACGAGCAGAGCAGGGGAGCGAGGUUCCGCAGCGACGUCAUGAGGUAGCUCCAAAGCACCUCUCAGAGCGACCUAGCUGGAGCGACCCCGUGAAGUCGCUCGCCAUACUCACCCCGUGAAGCGACUUGCCCAGAGCGACCUCCCGGAGCGACAUCACGAAGUCGCUGUGUCCCACUUCUCAGAGCGACCUUCCUAAAGCGACGCCAUGAAGUCGCUCGCGUUCUCGUUACUCCGAACAGUCUUAGAUGACCCUGGAGCGACCUCUCAGAGCGACCUACCAAGGUCGCUCCCGAUCCAGAGCGACCCGUUGGAGCGACACACCAAAGUCGCUCGGGACCUCUCGCCCGGAGACACCAAAAAUCGGCCCUGGAGCGACUUUCCGGAGCGACACCUGCAAGUCGCUCCGCGUUAUUUUGCUGCCGAAAAUCAUGAUUUCUCGAGGACCUUUUUGCAAUUUAUUUUGGACGUUUUGCACUUGGAAAAACCUAUGUUUUAAACAUCUUUUGUAGCCACCAGGCAGACUAUCUUUGAUCUAUUGAAAAAUACACAAAAACUCUCUAGAGAAGUUCAUCUCUUGGAUUUUUGAUUGUUAUGUUCUUGUGUUCUUGUUGAUUUCUUAUCUAUUUCUCUACAUGAUUAAUCUGAAAUCCAAUAUGGGUUUAAGAGGAAUCAUGGAGAUUAGUGAGUAAUCACCUUUUGAAUUCAUGAGUUAGGGAGAUUAAGGGUGAUUAGGUUAGUUCUAGGAUGUUUUAGUGUAGAUCAUUUUUGUUCCUUGCUAGUAGAGUAUUCUUAAUGCAUCUUCUGAGUUGGUCACUCAAAAGUUGAUCAAUAGAUCUAAACGAUUAUUGGUUUGUCCAUAAUCAAAAGCCUUAAAAGAGUUAAAGGGGAAAAUUUUUCUGUUAUUUCUUGUUCACCCUUUUCAAUUUAAAUAAAUUUUUAUUUAAUAUAUACAACUUGCAUGUUGUCAGAAUGAAGAAGAGGGCUGGUCUUAUUUUCUGGAGCUCCCGUAAAUUUGUCACACGUGUGUGUUUUGGGAACCGGCCCCCGCUUUGAGGGUCGAGCUUUUCUAUAACCCUGUCCAGAGCAGUUUAUCAUUGACAAUAUUCACUCGCUUUUUUUUUAACUUUUUGGAAUACUAUAGUUUAGUUACGGGUCGGCGACCAUAACUAUCAUAUAGGAUCAGAUCCCCACCAAACUAUCACCCUAUCACCUAGUAUAAGAUCUCCAUGAACUAAAAAUUGUAAACUUAUUUCUCUCCGAAUUGAAAGUUACAAACUUAUUUUUUUAUUAACUGAUAAUUCGAAACUUAAUUAACCAUAAACCAUGGUUUGGACCGGUAUAUUAUUAACUAAACAAUAUUUAACCGGUUAAAUUUAACUAAACCAAAGAAAAACCAAUUUUAAAUAGAAAACACUACCCAAAAACAGUCUGAUCCGGUUUGUUUCUUCUUCACCCGACUCACACUUUUUUCAACCUCUCGUUGUUAGCCCCAAUUGCAAAACUAAAGUUCGAAGAUUUUUCUCAAAUCUUUAAUAUGUGAUUCACGACUCACGAGCUAUAUCUUGUGCUCUUAAUCUACCAUUAUUUUUCUUCUAUGUUUGAUCAAUCAUUGUGUUGAUGUGUCUAUUACACGGGCUAAUUCCAUUUAUAGAUUGAAUGGGUUUAGAUUCAAAGGAAAAGAAAAAGAGUUCGAAUUAUUGUUGAGUCAAAUUAUUAUUCUUGUUUUUUGGCUAAAGAAGAAGAAAUUGAAAAAGAAAAAAACAACUUGAGUCGGGUGAAGAAGAAAGAAACCCGGUAGGAUUGUCUCUCAGUCUGGUUUUUAUUUUAAAUUAUAUUUAUUUGGUUUAAUUCAUUUAAUCGGUUAAAGUUGUUUGGUUAAUAAUAUACCAGCCCAAACCAUGGUCUAUGUGUAAUUAGGUUUCGAAUUAUCGGUUAAUGGAGAAAUAACACUACAAGAAAACAUAAUCUUAACGAGGGCGGUUUUUCUCGCUAAUUCGUCGUAAAAAAGGCUUUACGACGAAUUAGCGAGGAAACGCGUUAGCUCGUUACACGUCUGUCGUAACACAUAUUUCCUCGCUAAUUCGUCGUAACUUAGCGAGGAAUAUAUUUCGUCGUAAAGACGAAGUAGGACGAUUUGUCGUAAAGACCACGUCAAUAUUCCACGUAAGGACGUCGCUAUAAUACCUCGUAAAUACCUCGAAAAUAGUUCCUCGUAACCUACACGUAAAUACCUUGAAAGAGUUUCCUCGGAAAAUACACGUAACAACCACGAAAUGAUUUCCUCGUAAAAUGGUCGUAAACUUUUCCUCGUUAUUUCCUCGUAAAUGAUUCCUCGUAAACUACUCGUUAAAUGUUUCUCGUCAUUUCCUCGUAAGGUUUCCACGUAAAGAGGUCGUACAUUGGCUACGAAUUUACUUCGUUUUUAUUAUUUUACAGAAUUUAAAAAUAUAAUUAAAAAAUAAUUAAAAUUAUUUAAUUUAAUAAUAAAUUAAAAUUCAAAAUAAAAAUAAAUCAAUAUGAAAAUAUUUUAUAUAUAAAUAAGUUUUGAAUUUAUAUAAUACAACAACCAAAAAAAAAAAAUAAGACAUGGAGAAGUAACCCUUGAUCGUGUCGGUUACGUCCGAUGCAAGACAUCCGUCAACCCCCCACCUGGAAAAUACAAAUUUAAAAUAUAAAUUAUUUUUAAUGUUAUAAAAGAAAUUUAAACGAAUUAAAAAAAAAUUUAAUGCAACAUACCACAACGUUCCGUCCGGUCGGUCUGGGUCGAUGACUGGUAAACCUUCUCUGCCUGGCAGACUGAGAAUGUCCUCUACAGUGUACUGCGAGUAAGGAGCACUCGGAGGCACCAUCAGAUCAGGAUGAAUAUCGGCGACCAUCGGAGGUGCCAUCGGAGGAGGCACAGGAGGAGGCAUCGGAGGAGGCACAUGAGGAGCCGAUGGUGCACUAGAAGAAGUAGACCCAGAGACUCUCUGAGUGUACUGAGUCUCGGGGACAGUCUCCUGGCCCGAAGAACUUGGAGCAGAAGAAGAGGCCGGGUCUAAACGACUACCCGGCUCACCGAAGAUCUCUCUGUAAUGGGCAGUAAGUCUUCCUUUUCGAACCUGGGAAAAAAAUGAAAUUUUUAAAAUUAACAUCAACAAUAUAUUUCCCAACAUUAUCCACCUAAUCAACACUAAAUAACAUAAAAUCCGCAAACCUAUCUAAAUUCCCUAUACAAACCACCUAAUAUAUCCUAAACUAACUAAAUUAGAGAGGAAUCAGAGAGGCUUACCAUUGCUACGAAAUGGAGAGGAAGUAGAGAGGAAGUAGAGAGGAAAGAAAGAGUGAGCGCUCGGGUGUAUAUAUAAGAUUACAUAUCGUCGCAAAUUCGUCGUAAGUUUACGACGAAAUAGCGAGCAGUUACAAAGGCCCGUGUUUUUUUUUACGAGGAAAGUGCGAGGAAUCACAAAGGCCCGUGUUUUUNNNNNNNNNNNNNNNNNNNNNNNNNNNNNNNNNNNNNNNNNNNNNNNNNNNNNNNNNNNNNNNNNNNNNNNNNNNNNNNNNNNNNNNNNNNNNNNNNNNNNNNNNNNNNNNNNNNNNNNNNNNNNNNNNNNNNNNNNNNNNNNNNNNNNNNNNNNNNNNNNNNNNNNNNNNNNNNNNNNNNNNNNNNNNNNNNNNNNNNNNNNNNNNNNNNNNNNNNNNNNNNNNNNNNNNNNNNNNNNNNNNNNNNNNNNNNNNNNNNNNNNNNNNNNNNNNNNNNNNNNNNNNNNNNNNNNNNNNNNNNNNNNNNNNNNNNNNNNNNNNNNNNNNNNNNNNNNNNNNNNNNNNNNNNNNNNNNNNNNNNNNNNNNNNNNNNNNNNNNNNNNNNACUAAAUAACAUAAGAUCCGUAAACCUAUCUAAAUUCCCUAUACUAACCACCUAAUCUAUCCUAAACUAAUCAAACUAGAGAGGAAUUAGGGAGACUUACCAUUGCUACGAAUUAGGGAGGAAGUGGAGAGGAAGUGGAGAGGAAAGACGGAGCGAGCUCGCUCGGGAUAUAUAUAAGAUUACUUGUCCUCGUAAUUUCCUCGUAAACUUACGAGGAAUUACAGAGGCCCGUACGACCAGUUACGACGAAAUAGCGACGAAAUACAAAGGCCCGCGUUUUCGUUAACGACGUUUUUACGACGAACUAGGUUACGUGGAAUUAAUGAGUUAACCAGUUACGAGGAAUUAGCGAGCCUAUAUUUUCUAUAAAUACCCACAACUUUCCUUCUCAAACCACACACAAACUCACAAAACACACCCUAUCUCAAAUCACAUUCCUCACUAAAAUACUAUUCAAAUUAUAAAUAUUUGAAAAAAAUAGGAAAAGGAUAAGAUAUUAGAAUUCAUGUGGGCGAGACUUACGUAUUAUAAUUGCUGGAAGUCUUGCCACAUUUUAUUCUGGUAUUUUGAUCAUUUUCCUUUUUUUCUAGUUUUUACACUACGAGGUAUUUACGACGAUUUAUGCUUACGUGGAAUUAACGUGUUUUAUGUUUAAAUCUUUUUACGUGGUCUUUACGACGAUUUCUGGUUACGUGGUCUUUACGAUGAUUUAUGCUUACGUGGUAUUUACGACGAUUUCAUCCUACGUGGAAUUAACGAGUGUUAUGUUUAAAUCCCUAGAAUCCCUGAACCCCUAAACCCGAAACCAAAAACCCGAAACCCCAAACCCCAAACCCGAAACCCGAAACCCCAAACCCCAAACCCCAAACCCCAUAUUCCUUAUUUUCUACUUCAUAUAUUCCAAACCCCAUCUUUAUUUUUAGGUUUCGUCGUUAUUUCCUCGUUGUCUUACGUUGUAUUUACGACGAUUUCAUCCUACGUGGUUUUUAUGACGAAUUCAUCGUACGUGGUAUUUACGAAGAUUUUGUCCUACGUGGAAUUAACGAGUCCCGCGUUCUGUAUUUUUAUAUUUCCUCGUUAUUUCCUCGUUGACCUACAAGUCCUUUACUACGAUUUUUUGUUACGUGGAAUUAACGAGUGUUAUGUUUAAAUCCCUUGAAUCCGAAACCCCAAACCCCAUAUUCCUUAUUUUCUACUUCAUAUACUCCAAACCCCAUCUUUAUUUCCAUUCCAAACCACAAUUCCCACAUUUGCUUAUUCAUAAAACAAACUCCCGGCAUUACCUUAUUCAUAAAACAAACCCCACAUUAUCUUAUUCAUAAAACAAACUCCCUCAUCUUAUUCAUAAAACAAAUACAUCAAUCGGAUACAUCGACAUUCUCGUCAUCACUAGAAACAUCAUCAUUUUCAUUAAACUCGUCUUCAACAGCUUCGUCUGUGGCAUCAUCGGUAAGAUCUUCGUACUCGUGAUUAUGCGGAUCAAUGAGAAGGAUGUCAUCAAUUUCUUGUUCAGGUUCCUCAACUUCAUUUAUCUGUUCUUCUUGCAAUGGUGGUUCUUCUCCACUGAUGAUUCGUCCUCGAGGUGUAACUUUGAUCACUGCUAACCAAUUUAUACCUGAAUCUCUCAUCCGAGGGUAUGGAAGGAAGCUAACUUGGUCUGCUUGUGAAGCUAAGAUGAAAGGCUCGAAUUUGUUGUACCUUCGUCCACCGUUGACAUCAACUACACCGAAUUUGUUAGACCGAACACCUCUGUUGACGACGGGGUCGAACCAUUCACAUUUGAAGAGGACGCAUUUCAGCUUCAGUAUCCCUGGAAAUUCGACUUCAAUAAUCUCCGUCAAGAUCCCGUAGAAAUCUGUUUCCCCUUUCACACAUAUUCCAUAGUUACUGGUCGCCCGCUGUCUACCAUAGUCAUAUGUAUGAAAAGUAUAGCCUCGUGUGAAAUACAUCUGUGAUGUGGUGACCUUUACAAGUGGAGAUUGAAUUACUUCGUGUAACCACUUAGGAUAAUCUGCAUCGUCGUCGUCAUAAUCAACCUGCAAAAAUAAAGAGAAUGUUAAUGAAAUACAGAUAAUGUAUGAAAAAAAAGUUUUAGUUAAUACCUGAUUCCGCAACCACUUAAUGAAGUGUUGAUCUUUCCUUUUGUCUACGUCACUUGUGGAUAUACCAGGAAAUGUUUCUUCGACUUGAGAAACAAAUAGGCUGUAAAAUCACAUUUUAUAGGAAUGAAUCUCUCGCAAUUAUACAAUUAAUUAUACUUAUAUGUGUUUCGAAGUGUCAAUAUAUGUUACCUUUCAAAAUAACGCAUCAAUGGAUCUUCGCAAUUGAGUAGAAUAUAGGUGUGUGCACUAUGAGCGUCUUCUUCACUCGACCACCAAACCUCUUUACACUUCCCACCGAGUCGCCCAAUCUGGCUAAAGAUGUCUGGAACACCAGCAACUGCAUAUGUUGGCGCAACACCACCAUCAUCAUAUCUUCUUGGAGCUCUUCUCCGUGUACGUACUUUUGACGCAAAGUAGUACGAUGUGAAGUGAGAAACUUCUUCCGUCAAACUUCCAGCAAUUAUAGAACCUUCAACUUUGGCGAGGUUCUUUGCUUUUCCCUUCAAAUAUUUCAUGGCUCGCUCAUACUGAUACAUCCAUCCGUAAUGUACAGGUCCACGAAGCAAUGCCUCAUAUGGGAGGUGGACAGCUAGAUGCUCCAUGACGUCAAAAAAUCCGGGAGGAAAUAUCUUCUCCAAGUUGCACAAUAAGAUGGGAAUGUUCUCCUGAAGCUGUUCCACAACUUCUUCUUUAAGAGUGCGUGUGCUCAGAUCCCUGAAAAAUGCUCCAAUGCCUUUUAUAUUCAAAAAAAAAUUAAACACAUUGUUAGUCAUAUAUUAUUUUGUAAAUUAUUGUGAUAUAAUACACUACGUACCUGCAAGUGCUUCAUGUACGUUUGUUGGAAGUAGCUCCGCAAAUGCAAAGGGCAGUAGUCGUUGCAUAAAUACAUGACAAUCAUGACUCUUCAUCCCGGAGAACUUUUGACCCUUUUCAACACAUCUAGAGAGAUUCGAAACAUACCCAUCGGGGAACUUCACUUCUGAUGCCACCCAGUUGAACAACACCGACUUUUUUUCUGAAGAUAAUCUGAAUAUCGGAACGGGAACUUGUCCAUUGCUUUUAAUAUGUAACUCGCUUCUUGAGCAAAUAUCCGGCAAGUCCAACCUCGAUUUUAUGUUGUCUUUUGUCUUCCCUGGGACAUUCAAUAUUGUAUUCAUGAUGUUCUCAAAGAAAUUCUUCUCUAUAUGCAUCACAUCGAGGUUGUGGCGCAGAAGAAGAUCCUUCCAAUAUGGCAACUCCCAAAAUAUACUCUUCUUGUGCCAGUUGUGAUGAACACCGUAAGAAUCUGGCAUAUUACGAGGGACAUGCCAAUUACCACCCCAACGAACUGUUUCGUUAGCUCCGUAGUAGUCGAUUUGCGCUUCAAUUUGUUCUCCAGUUAGAUAUGGAGGAGGAGUGUCUCUCACAACCCUUUUGUGCCUAAACAAAUUCUUGUUUCUUCGGUAAGGAUGGCCAAUGGGAAGAAAUCGACGGUGACAAUCAAACCAACUUGUCUUCCUACCAUUCUUCAGUUGAAACGCAUCUGUCGUUCCAUUACAAUAUGGACAAGCUAAUCUCCCAUGUGUAGUCCAUCCAGACAACAUCCCAUAGGCAGGGAAAUCACUUAUGGUCCACAAAAGCAUCGCUCGCAUCGUAAAAUUCGUCUUCGUUGAACAGUCAUACGUCCUCACCCCUGUUGACCACAAAUCCUUCAACUCUUUUAUCAGUGGUUGUAGGAAAACAUCCAGGGACCUUUUUGGAUGGUUCGGACCAGGUAUUAAUAUGGUCAAGAAUAGUAACUCCCGUUGCAUGCACAUCUCCGGUGGCAGGUUGUAUGGAGUAAGAAAGACUGGCCACAAUGAAUAUUGUCUCCCUGACAUUCCGAAUAAGUUUGUAACUUUCAAUUCGGGGAGAAAUAAGUUUACAACUUGUAGUUGAUGGAGACCUGACACUAGGUCAUAGUUUGGUGGGGAUCUGAUGCUAUAUGAUAGUUAUUGUUGAUACAUGAUUUAGCACUAAAUCCCUCCCGCCGAAAGAAUAAGAAAACCGGUUAACGACUACUUUGAGUUAAGCUUAAACGGGCCUAGGAGAGCUCAUAACGCGACGUCGGCCAGCCCGAGGUUCUUUGGAUAAUUAAUGAGUCAAAGAUCAAGAGGAUUACUCUCCACAUAUAUCGGAGUCGAUAGAUAUAAAGAAUGAGUCAUAGCUAAAAAAGGGGAGCACUUGCAACAAACCACCAACCAUGUUACGAGCUUCUUGCAACAACCUGAUUCUCAUAUAAAAUAGGCCUUGGGAGACGAGAAGAAGGGGACAUCUGAUAAACAAAAGAAUGAAGGAAACAUUAAACGUCAAGAGAGACUUUGGUCUCAGCAAGACCUCUUGAACGAGAGGACGUCUCUGAAAUCACCAACAACGAGAUUGUAUUGAACAAAGGACGCGAUUUCUUAUUCAUUGACAUCGAUCUCUAGAUAUAUUCAUAAAUCAGCCGCUGUAAGUCUUUCUAUGACAUAUAAACGAACCUCUUCUGAGGUUAAAACUAACGACGCCCACCAAUGAACCCGACAUCUCGUCCGAGACAGAUGAAACCGACAUCUCUCUCGAGAUGAUGAUAAUCGAACUACGUUAUGACUUGAUCCCUUAACGGGUACGUAGGCAGCUCGAUCUCGAGUUCAGUCACGAUCCUUCCUCCUCCCGAUAUCUUUAUGAUAUUCGACCUGCGAAUAUAGUCCAUUUUCGCCGACUUAUACCUGAUUACAUCGUUGUGUUCUGAGGAUAUCGUUGCCCACAUUAUCUUCCCUAGUUUUACUUUCAAACAUUAUCAAAUACUUAGUGUAGAUUUUAGGAUCUACAGUUAUGAUUGGGAAAUAGAUCGUCGACCAUUUACUUACAUAUAUAGUAAACGGACUAUGCUCCAGAUAGUAUCCUUAAUGAGUGCAUACAUUAAUUAAGAGAGUGUACAUGCAAUAUUCAACAUGUUUGAAAGAUUUGAUAUGUAUGAGCAUCCUGAUUAUUAUUAUUUGUUAUUUUGUUAUUUAACAGUGGUUUAAGCUUUGUAGAUUAUCAGCUAGAGCCGACAUCUCACUAAUUGCAACCUUAUAUUCCACUUGAUACAAAGAGUUUGGGGGAAGAACUAAUACAAAGAGCAGCUGUCCAUAUACAUAGUUCUUUUCUUUUAAGCAUAUAUACAUUACAUCAAGAUAUAUUACAUAUAUAUAAGUUUCACACCUGCGAACAGUAAAUAGAAUUUGAAUCCAUACAACGUUUGAUCAAGAGUACUUACUAGGUGUCCUGAUGAGCAUGCGGCUUAUACAUAGUUUAUAACUGACUUACCGGAUAAUCAACCUUUGAUAUCCUGGUAAUGAAGAUCCGACCAGAUACAAGCAGCUGAAACAAAUCCCAUAGUUAAAUAACUUUACUUGAAUCAACAUAGAUAACACAUAAGCCCAAGAAGCAGCUACGAGGCAAAAAGAACAAGAGCAAGACUUUAGCAAGUCUUCACUGUUAAAUUAUGACAUUGAGGCAAUACCUCCCUUAUCUCGGUAUCACUGCUUAUUAUAAUAGUACCAUCAGUUUGCUGAUCCACGUAUCUGUCACCAUGUUCAAAACAGAUCAUCUCUCUUCUUUGGAAGAUUGGUUAAAUCACACAAAGCGAGACGGGGGUUUCUUCGGAAACUGAUUUGCUGCUAUCUUCACUCAUUUUACACAAAAGGAAAGAUCGAUACUUUCAAUAAUUCAAACUAUGUUGAAUUGAAUUAAGAUGAUAAGCACCCGGUGGGAGAUCUGAAGAGUGGAGAAAUUAGGGUUUUUGAUUUCGUUGAGGCCGAAAACCGUCUGGAUUUUUUUUCCGAUCUCUAUUUUUUUAACAUCAGUUUUGCGAACGUUAUUUGGCUAGCGACGCGUGGUCUCACUGUAUACGAAGUUCAAUGAAGCCCAAUAUCAUUAAAAAAAUUCAAGCCCAUUAUAUUAAUAGAUUAGUGUACCUGUUAUAAACAUUUCAUCAACAACAAAAAAUAUCUUAAAUUCUUAGUAUUGUUUUUUAUUGUCAACACACAACAGUUCUCACAAUUCUUAGUUUUUUUUUGGUGCAACUCACACUUCUUAGUUAACUGAAACUUUAAACAAUGAUGGAAGAUAGAAAUGUUAUAAAUUUUAUCUAAUCAUAUGUUUUUUUGUGAACUAACUUUGAUAAACAUCUUCUAUCACUAACUUUUACCUACAGUAAGAAUCUUGUGUAAGCUCUCAUACGAAAGCUUUGUAACAUUAUGUAAUUCUCUUGUAAGUAAAAAUAUGAUGUACAAAUGUACAACAAAUAAUUUUCUUCUUUACCAACAGUUUUUCCUUGUUAAAUGGCUUACUUGAAAGAAAAAAAUGUUUAAUAGGAAUUAAACACGAACCAAAGAUACAAACAAAAAAGGUAGAUGUUAGAAAAGCAGGAGAAAAGAGCCAACAUAGAAAUAGAUAUCAGUCUAUCACAGCUGAAGUAUGAAUAAUGCCAAACAUUAGGCAAGGACGAUGAAAUUGUUUAUAAAUUUCUCUUCUUCAUUAACAUCACAACAGAAAAGUUAAAAUUGCAAGUUUAUUUUAUAUAGUUUCUUAUAUGUGUCUAGAGACUCAACUAGAGUAUUACGCACAAAAAAAAAAUCAACAUUUUGUUUUUGUUGCAUGAACAUAAGGUGAGUCAAAUGACUCAAAUAGCUCAAUAAUCACCGGAGGUAGUGUUUGCGGAGACUGGCACAACCACGGAGUGGUUAGUCCCGGAAGAAGCCCAUGGCAUUGGCGAAGUGGCGAGUAGAGGCGAUACCGUUAGAACGUGUGAGGAUUACAGUGGCAGUGUUGCGACCAGGAUCAGGGAAUUGGCAGUUGGAGAUAGGACUAUUGACGAGCACCGCCAGACAUUGCUGGUCCUGUCGGUCUCCUUCGACGGCAACUCUGUAUCUUCCUCGGCGUCCUGUCACCGCCUCACCCACAACCUCCGAUUUCAAUGUCACACUGUCUUUGCACACUAUUUUCACUUUUGCCCCUAUUAUUCAAACAGCACCCCCAAAUAUUCAAAGUUUUAAUCCGUGUUUCUAACAAUGUAACAUACAACAAAAAAAUUGAGUAAGGACUCAAGGUAUAUAUGAUUAGUAGAAGAAAAUAUAAGUAGCCGAAAAUAUAAUCGUUAGUCUUACUUUCAAACGCCAGUCUAUAUAUUUGAGAUUGAUGUAAUUUUCAUGUAAAAUACAAUAUUGUGUCACUUUGCAUGUUACUAUCAGAUCCAAAUGAUUAAUUGAUAAUUACAUAGUGAAAAAUACGAGGCGAACGAGUAUGAAAAUAUACGCACCGGUGAUAUAUUUGGUGAGGAUUGUCUCAAAUCCAAAGCGGCAAGUGUCGCAGUAAACACAUCCUUCUAUAUGAAAUGGUGUUCCAGCCGCCAUGGCCGCAAGUGGCAGUAGCAAAACACACAUCACGGCGAGCAGAGGUGUAUAUGAUCUAGCCAUCUACAUAAACAACUGAAGAAUGAUACUAUAAUUUUUGGAGUUUGUUUUUUUUUUUGAGAGUUUGUUGCUUGUGAAGGGGUUUUGUGAAUUAAUUAUUUGCGAGCUACCUAGUAUAUAUAAGAAGGAAGCUGAAAGGCACAUGUAUCAAAGAUGUAAGUGUAUCGCAUCGUGUGCGAAUUAAAAAAAAAGCUUGCUUAGUGUCGGCUAGAUCCAAUUGCGGCUCCUCCUCCGCCUUCUACGGCAAAUGUGGAUAGAGUUUGUGUUGCCUCCUCCACAUGUCUAACUCGUACGGUUCUUGUUAAUUCUAGUCUACGUUUUAAGCUUUUUUUUUUAACAACCAAUGCUUAUAUUAAAAUUAAACGCCCAAUGGGCUAAGUCGAUUACAACCGAAGAGAUAUUCGACGGUAAAAUGAUAAGCAAACAUAACUAAAACAUAAAAAAGAUAGAUGUGGCUAAGGAAAAAAGAACCCCGUAGAAAAUCUUCGCUUGUUGUCCUAAAGCCCGCGUUUGAAAGAACAUACAAAAGUCGACAUUGACGUUGAAGAACCCAACCAAUGGGUUUUGAGAACAAUUGAAAACCGUCUCUGAAAAUGCAUGGAUCUCCCGACGUUGCAGUGACACUGAAGUGCAGAGAAGUUGCCGGAGUAGGACUACACACAUAAUCGUCGACGGUACAACCGCUAAAGAAAAACAGUUAACAAAGUCAGGAGAAGGCAUUGACAAUGAUUGCUUGGCCGGCAAGAGAUGCAAAAUCCAAACAUGGUGAACAUCCACAAGAUCGAGGCCGCCUUAGUAACUACAUAGUUACAGGUGAACAUUGACAACCUCUAUGUUUCGAGCUACGGUUUAUUUUUUUGGACAAGUAUAGAUUGUUAUUUUCAGGAUUAUUUUCACUAGUUAUUAGUUUAUCAUUUCUUCAGUCUACGUGAAAAGAACAAAACAUGGUGAACAUCUACAAGAUCGAGGCCGCCUUAGUAACUACAUAGACAGACUUGUCAGGGACCGCAUUGACUCACUCCGAGGCUCUGCAAAUGGCAGCUUUGACACACACUUGCAGGCUUGGUUUACAAGCUGAUGAGAGAAGAUGAGAGCUUUAGAAUCAGUUUUUUAAAUAGUUUCUAUAAACACAACUCAAACAAAGUUACAUAGGUUGUAAAAAAAAAAUUUGAUCAGAAUAAAUUUAACAUUCAUUCAAAAAUAACAAAAAAAAUCGUUUUCACAGAGUUUUCUAGACUGAAUCAAAGGCGUUGAUUUUUAUUUUUAAGUAGAAGACCAAGAAAACAAUAUGUUUUUAUUAGAUAAAAAUUAUUAAAUUUCCUCUUCAAAUUGCGUAAUGGCUUUUCCAUACCAUGUUGAUCCAUGAUUUUGUAUCGUAGGUUGGUUAUGUACAGUAUUAUUUAAUUUAAAUAAAAAUUAUAAAUAGUGAUGACUAAUUAAUUUUGUCUUGAUUAAAUUCAGUUUUGACGUUAACCGUGGCUUAUAAUAACAGGAAAAACGUUGGUACUUGGAAGGUGAAAGUGACCGCGGGAUUAGUAAAAGUCUUGUCCAUUUGAUGGUCGGUUACAUUAGCAGCAAUUGAUCUUAUGAACAAGACUUAUUGGGCCCAGAGGAACCGAUGACAGCCACUACACGUCUUAAAUACAAACAAAAUAGUCCACAAAAGAGAAAGCGCCAGAGAGUCCCCAAGUCUGGAAAGCCGAUAAGUCAACACGGAACUCUCCUUCCUCCAAGUCAGGCAAAGAAGCCGUAUGAGAAACAUUCUUUGAACAUGUGAUUAAGGCCCUGUUCGUUACGGAAUCGCUGCGGCAGCGACCAGAAAAUUAACACUAAUGAAGAGCGAAGUAGCUAUGGUGGAACAGAAAUAGUCGCUGGAAGUGAUUUCCGGAUAACUCCGUGACGUCUUUUAUGGACGCCAAUUUUUUCAGCGACGUCUCUUGUUUGCCGCUGCGACACUAAAUAGCUCCUUCACCCACGUUUCACUCCAUUAAUUAAUAGAAUCACUGUUAUAUUUUCUGUCGCUGCUGCUGCCGCAGCGGUUCUGAAACGAACAGGGCCUAAGGAGGGAGGAGUACGAAGAUGAGGUGGCGAUGAGGAUGCAUGCGUGGGACAUGGAAGGGAUGCCUCUAGGGAAGGAGUCCCCAAGUCUCCUUUGCAAAGUAAGCCGUAUUCUUCUUCGCCGUGAAGCAAACACAGUUUUUUUAUUGUUGGGUGCAAAUGUUAGAAGCAAACAAAGUUGUUUUGGGUCAAAGUGCAAACACAGAUUUUAACCGAACAGAGGGAUACACAAGCAAGCUCGAAGUAAUUCUCUGUCGACAAAGCAAGGUCCAAAUUUGAAAGUGUCUUGCAUAGAUUUUUUUUUUUUUUAGUUUUUUUGGUCAAACAACAAUGCAUUCAUUCAUUCAAACAUAAAAGUGUUAUCCUCCAACAGAGGAGUUUACAGAAAGCAGAGUGAGAGCAGACUUUGCCACCAAGUCAGCCUCGCCAUUAAAGGUCCUAGAGAUAAAGUGAAAAGAAAUCCGAUCAAAGUACGACAAAGCAUGAUAGAUAUCAAACAUGAUACCGAACAGUUCAGGUUGAGUGGCUUCCUUCUUCGCUAUUAUUCAAACAGCACCCCCAAAUAUUCAAAGUUUUAAUCCGUGUUUCUAACAAUGUAACAUACAACAAAAAAAUUGAGUAAGGACUCAAGGUAUAUAUGAUUAGUAGAAGAAAAUAUAAGUAGCCGAAAAUAUAAUCGUUAGUCUUACUUUCAAACGCCAGUCUAUAUAUUUGAGAUUGAUGUAAUUUUCAUGUAAAAUACAAUAUUGUGUCACUUUGCAUGUUACUAUCAGAUCCAAAUGAUUAAUUGAUAAUUACAUAGUGAAAAAUACGAGGCGAACGAGUAUGAAAAUAUACGCACCGGUGAUAUAUUUGGUGACGAUUGUCUCAAAUCCAAAGCGGCAAGUGUCGCAGUAAACACAUCCUUCUAUAUGAAAUGGUGUUCCAGCCGCCAUGGCCGCAAGUGGCAGUAGCAAAACACACAUCACGGCGAGCAGAGGUGUAUAUGAUCUAGCCAUCUACAUAAACAACUGAAGAAUGAUACUAUAAUUUUUGGAGUUUGUUUUUUUUUUUGAGAGUUUGUUGCUUGUGAAGGGGUUUUGUGAAUUAAUUAUUUGCGAGCUACCUAGUAUAUAUAAGAAGGAAGCUGAAAGGCACAUGUAUCAAAGAUGUAAGUGUAUCGCAUCGUGUGCGAAUUAAAAAAAAAGCUUGCUUAGUGUCGGCUAGAUCCAAUUGCGGCUCCUCCUCCGCCUUCUACGGCAAAUGUGGAUAGAGUUUGUGUUGCCUCCUCCACAUGUCUAACUCGUACGGUUCUUGUUAAUUCUAGUCUACGUUUUAAGCUUUUUUUUUUAACAACCAAUGCUUAUAUUAAAAUUAAACGCCCAAUGGGCUAAGUCGAUUACAACCGAAGAGAUAUUCGACGGUAAAAUGAUAAGCAAACAUAACUAAAACAUAAAAAAGAUAGAUGUGGCUAAGGAAAAAAGAACCCCGUAGAAAAUCUUCGCUUGUUGUCCUAAAGCCCGCGUUUGAAAGAACAUACAAAAGUCGACAUUGACGUUGAAGAACCCAACCAAUGGGUUUUGAGAACAAUUGAAAACCGUCUCUGAAAAUGCAUGGAUCUCCCGACGUUGCAGUGACACUGAAGUGCAGAGAAGUUGCCGGAGUAGGACUACACACAUAAUCGUCGACGGUACAACCGCUAAAGAAAAACAGUUAACAAAGUCAGGAGAAGGCAUUGACAAUGAUUGCUUGGCCGGCAAGAGAUGCAAAAUCCAAACAUGGUGAACAUCCACAAGAUCGAGGCCGCCUUAGUAACUACAUAGUUACAGGUGAACAUUGACAACCUCUAUGUUUCGAGCUACGGUUUAUUUUUUUGGACAAGUAUAGAUUGUUAUUUUCAGGAUUAUUUUCACUAGUUAUUAGUUUAUCAUUUCUUCAGUCUACGUGAAAAGAACAAAACAUGGUGAACAUCUACAAGAUCGAGGCCGCCUUAGUAACUACAUAGACAGACUUGUCAGGGACCGCAUUGACUCACUCCGAGGCUCUGCAAAUGGCAGCUUUGACACACACUUGCAGGCUUGGUUUACAAGCUGAUGAGAGAAGAUGAGAGCUUUAGAAUCAGUUUUUUAAAUAGUUUCUAUAAACACAACUCAAACAAAGUUACAUAGGUUGUAAAAAAAAAAUUUGAUCAGAAUAAAUUUAACAUUCAUUCAAAAAUAACAAAAAAAAUCGUUUUCACAGAGUUUUCUAGACUGAAUCAAAGGCGUUGAUUUUUAUUUUUAAGUAGAAGACCAAGAAAACAAUAUGUUUUUAUUAGAUAAAAAUUAUUAAAUUUCCUCUUCAAAUUGCGUAAUGGCUUUUCCAUACCAUGUUGAUCCAUGAUUUUGUAUCGUAGGUUGGUUAUGUACAGUAUUAUUUAAUUUAAAUAAAAAUUAUAAAUAGUGAUGACUAAUUAAUUUUGUCUUGAUUAAAUUCAGUUUUGACGUUAACCGUGGCUUAUAAUAACAGGAAAAACGUUGGUACUUGGAAGGUGAAAGUGACCGCGGGAUUAGUAAAAGUCUUGUCCAUUUGAUGGUCGGUUACAUUAGCAGCAAUUGAUCUUAUGAACAAGACUUAUUGGGCCCAGAGGAACCGAUGACAGCCACUACACGUCUUAAAUACAAACAAAAUAGUCCACAAAAGAGAAAGCGCCAGAGAGUCCCCAAGUCUGGAAAGCCGAUAAGUCAACACGGAACUCUCCUUCCUCCAAGUCAGGCAAAGAAGCCGUAUGAGAAACAUUCUUUGAACAUGUGAUUAAGGCCCUGUUCGUUACGGAAUCGCUGCGGCAGCGACCAGAAAAUUAACACUAAUGAAGAGCGAAGUAGCUAUGGUGGAACAGAAAUAGUCGCUGGAAGUGAUUUCCGGAUAACUCCGUGACGUCUUUUAUGGACGCCAAUUUUUUCAGCGACGUCUCUUGUUUGCCGCUGCGACACUAAAUAGCUCCUUCACCCACGUUUCACUCCAUUAAUUAAUAGAAUCACUGUUAUAUUUUCUGUCGCUGCUGCUGCCGCAGCGGUUCUGAAACGAACAGGGCCUAAGGAGGGAGGAGUACGAAGAUGAGGUGGCGAUGAGGAUGCAUGCGUGGGACAUGGAAGGGAUGCCUCUAGGGAAGGAGUCCCCAAGUCUCCUUUGCAAAGUAAGCCGUAUUCUUCUUCGCCGUGAAGCAAACACAGUUUUUUUAUUGUUGGGUGCAAAUGUUAGAAGCAAACAAAGUUGUUUUGGGUCAAAGUGCAAACACAGAUUUUAACCGAACAGAGGGAUACACAAGCAAGCUCGAAGUAAUUCUCUGUCGACAAAGCAAGGUCCAAAUUUGAAAGUGUCUUGCAUAGAUUUUUUUUUUUUUUAGUUUUUUUGGUCAAACAACAAUGCAUUCAUUCAUUCAAACAUAAAAGUGUUAUCCUCCAACAGAGGAGUUUACAGAAAGCAGAGUGAGAGCAGACUUUGCCACCAAGUCAGCCUCGCCAUUAAAGGUCCUAGAGAUAAAGUGAAAAGAAAUCCGAUCAAAGUACGACAAAGCAUGAUAGAUAUCAAACAUGAUACCGAACAGUUCAGGUUGAGUGGCUUCCUUCUUCGGUAGAGAGACGAGGGAGAGCGAAUCGGUUAGAACGGCCAGGGAUCGGACGUUUGAAUAGACGGAUGUAACAACCGCGAGGCGAACAGCUAUGGCCUCUGCCAUAAGAGCUGAAGAUACAUGGGAGCGAGGCUCGCUCAGGUUUGGUAUGCGCUUUAGGUUAUUUCCUGAGAAAAUGCCUCCAAUUCCACAGCCACCGGAAGAACUGUCCCACGCUGCAUAAAUCUGAAAUAGUUUUACACCCGAAGCCUCCCGAGACGGAGAGUAUUAAGAUUAUACAACGUACACCCUUUACAAGGGGAUAAUUACACAUCUUGUUUGUUUUAAUUAUAUGUUUUGGAUUUUAUUUAUUCGCCGAUUAAAGGUAACUAAUUAAGCAGUGGGAGCGUUACCGGAAGAUUGAUGUCGGAGAUUUGUCCAGGUGACACCUCCAUAUAAUCAGCUUCGGCUCGCACAAGAUUACUCUUCUCCAUCUGUAACAUAAAAUACAUAUUACCCUUGAGCAAGUAAAAGUAAGAACUAUCUUGUGCGAGUAACCUGGUUAUUUAAUCACCACUGGACCCUUGAGCAAGUAAAAGUAAGAACUAUAUACUUGAACUGUGCCAAUCGGAUCGAAACUUAAACCGUAACAAAAAAAAAACUUUAGUUACCUGGCUAGCCAAAACAUGGUUCUCCUCUUCCAGCAACUUCUCCUGGUUUAAAGAUCAACACAUCAAUUUACUCAUAUAUAAAGUUUAUAGACUUAACUUCAGAUUUUUAAUUCAAAACAUUCUAGUGGUCCUGAAAAGACUAGGAUACAUUGGCAAUAGGUUAGAGAUAGGCUUGCGGCCUCAUGAAGCAGACUUAGAUAAACUAAGACAACACGACCAUAAUAUAACUAAAGUGCUAGCUAUAAACUUGGAAGCAUAUAUCUAACCUUUUCUUUAAGGUUCUCGACAAGCUUCAACAUUAGUUCUGUCUGCAACAAAGUAAUUAAAUCUAAGCGCACGGUUGUUCUUGAAAAACAAAGUAAGAAAAGAGAAGACAUCACGGAAGUAACGUACCUUCCUAGCUCUUGUUACGGAGAGGGCGUUCUCAAGGUGUUCCUCCAGCUGAACCAGGGAACCCACACUUACAUUAUCGACAUUUGAUUCCUCAAGCUUGCUGCAUAUAUUCAUAGAUUGACAAGAAACCCUAAUUCCUCUGUGAUCAAAGGAGAGAAGAGUUUUAGUUAGUAUUAACCUUUCCACAAGUUCCAGUAGCUCAUGGUGUGAACCACAGUCCAAAGCUUUUGACUGACGAUCCUGUCCAUGGAGAAGUAAUAUAAGCUUAAAAAUCUGGUUGUGCAUGAGGAUCCAUCAUCUCAUAUAUAGGGAUCACUAAGGGAACUAAUAUAUAAUAAAUGGAUUAAUACCACAAUUCCUAAAACAAGAUCUCCACAAAUUUAAGGUGCUAAACAUGUGUUUUACCCACUCCUAUCCAAUUUAAUGAUCAUCAAUCUCUGUAUAACCAAUUUGAUGAUCUUGAAAACAAACUUUUGAUAACUACAGCACCAAAAUAGUAAUUAUAUGUGUACCGUUAAGUGCGGGCAUGCCAAUACAUUCUAACACCCCCCACCCCACAAAAAAAAUCAAACCUACAUGAAUUGCUACUGAUCGGUAGAAACUAUAUAGGCAUUUGGUAAAUUUAAUCCUAAGAAACUACAUCAAAUAGAAGAUUAGUGUCGCCUGUAUUACCAAGGCUUUAAGAUCAUCACCAUGUUGCUUUCCAUAUCGAUCAAGGAUCUUGACCAGGCUGGAGAGAAGACGAGAAAAAAUCAAAGUAUGUUAGGAUCAAAACUACCAGCUAACCCUUGAAAGAAUGAACUGGAAACUAUGAAACAUGUAUAGGGCACAGAAGACAAUUAGAGACAAAAGUUCAAUUUUCACACACACAGUUUUCAUUAACAUUCCAGAAAAAUUAAUAUUUACGUUUAAGCAGAACCACAUUUGGUUUUCCAUUUCUUAUUUUAUAACUUUCACUCUUAUGCUUUCUAAGCAGUAUUUUAAUGGUCAGAUGAUCUUUUAAUCUCUUCCAAGGCGUGUUCCAAAAAAACCUCUUCCAAGGAAAAGAGGAACUCUAGUAUUUACCACGAAUUACCCUAAGUUUGGUUGUCUCAUGAAUCUUAUGGCUUCACAUUUAAAUUGUAAACUGAUAUAACGAAAAAGAAAUUGUCACUCAAGGAUAUUGUCCAUCGACAUUUUAGUAAUUAGAAAACUAGAACAUGCAAACGCAAUCGUAAAUGCAAACAAACAAUUAAGGCGUAGAGGUAAUCCAUAGAAGCAACAGCUGAACACGGUAAAAAAAUCUUAUUUAUGACUUUAUAGAAGUCCCAGCAAAUUUGAAAAACAGUUCCACUAAUUCAACAGUUUUGUUAAAAGGUUUCAAUUCCACCGUGAAGUUAAGCUCUUUGCAACAAAAUCAAGGAUGCACAAUUGCGUUAUUGAGUAACUAAAGGUCAAAUUCCAGGUUCUAAAAGCCUUUCUUCUUUUGCUCAACAACUAAUCUCGAUUAGCUAUUCCAAGGCUGGACCUAACUAAUAUUCAGUGUGAGGAGUGAACAAGUAUUAAAUAAUUGAGACAUGACCAGCGAUCUUCACUAACAUCGCCAAACCUGUACAAUCAGUUGGUUAAUAUUAUAGGGUUAAGCUAACACUUCACCAAAUUUAAAUUUUGACAAGGGGUUGGAAUUUUCUCCAUGAAGAAAGGUUUUGGUGAGGUGGUUGGUUUCCAAGAGGCACCAAAGGAAAUACGUUAUGUUAUUGUCAAUGCCUACAACAAGAAACACAACGAGAUGCAAGGUUGUGUGAUCGUACAUUUCCAUAACAAAAGCUACAAUGUUGUGGGUUGUCAAUUCAAAUGAACAAAGCUACAAAGUUCGAUUAAAAGCUAUCAUCCAAUUACAUAAUGUAGCAUAUGCAUGUGCCGUAACUACUAGAGUGCGAAACUAAACGCUUGGGAUAAUCUUAUAAUAACAAAUCAAUAAAAGGGAGAAAAACUUCUAGAAAAUCAUUUAUACCUUAUAUAUUUUAGUCCAUAGUCGCACACUGGCAUACCUUAAACCAGACUUGCUGAUCUAUUAAUAUACCAUCAAUCCCACUAACUUUAUCUACAUGGGUUUGCAUUGUAUAUUUGUAUUGUACGAAAAUCCAAGAGAAAACUAAAUUUAAUCUAUUCUAUUAAAACAUCAACAUGACAUAUUGAUAUAGGUACGGUCCAACUAUUUUAAUAGAAUAUAUUAAAACUUUUUAUUAAUCAUUUAAGAGAAAUAUUAUACAAAAAUACAAAUAUAACUAAAAACAAUUUUUUUUAAAAAAUGUAAAACAAAAAAUAUAUCCACCCUUUAAAAAAACGGGUCACCCUUUAAAAAUACGGGUCAGAAUCUAGUCGGUCUUAAAAUAGACCAAUUAGUGUACAUUAUGUGUGAGACAAAGAGUUAUAUAUGCACACAACGCUUCCGAUUAAAAGAACCGCAAUCGAUACUAGAUCAAAUAAAAGUAACUAACAGUGAGUCUGUGUUUUCCAGAAGCUACCAAAAUUCUUUUUUUUUACUGAAAAGACUACCAAAAUUCAAAAGUACUAUCUUUAUGCAAAUUAUUAAGAAUCAGUUAGGAAACUUUAUAUUGGUACGCUUCAAGUAAUAACCUCACGGUAUAAAGAGAAAUUACAAGAAUUGAUCUACAAUAAUCUACACUAUCUAUUAUUCAGCAUCAACCUCACAGCGAUUCUAUAGAUCUCCCCCAAGUGCAUUUCAUUGCAUACAAAUCUGAGAGAUCCAAUAGAUUUAAUUACUCUACAAAGAGAAACAUGAAUCAACAAUUAUUUUGACAUAAAACUCUUCUGAAACAUAAGGAGUUCCUAAAGCUAAAAAGCUGAUGAACUAACAAUCAAAGAUGGAUAUAAACUUCACGAAGUAACAUCAAGUAUGCAUCACAGCGUGUCAAAGAUCUUGAAGGACAUGCAAUUUUUUUUUGAAAUAAAAAAAAAAUCCAUGCAGAAAAGUUGUAACAUUGUUCGUCCUUCGAUUUGGUUGUCUCAUGUAUCUAGCAACACACAAACCAAGAAAACCACACAAGAUUCGCAGGAAAUAUUUUUUAAAAAUAAUUAUAUUUUUUUCUGAAAAAAAGUUAGUAAUUAACAAUAAUAAUGGAAAACCCAGAAUAGUAAAAGUCGUACUUAACACCGGAGGAGAAGCUGUAGAGUUUUCCGGAGGCGGAGACGACAAGAAGAGCGACGGAUGCGUCACAGAGAACGGAAAGCUGACGAGCUUUCUCGAUGAGACCGUUGCGUCGUUUGGAGAAGGUAACUUGUCGGCUACUUUUGUUCUCAAUUGGCUUGAUUUCAAGUUUCUUUCUCCCCAUGGCUUCUGUCUCCAACAGGGCUUUGCGCCCUAAUUUGAUCUUGAGGUCCGGUUUCCACUAGCC
rnacentral:lncRNA from 1 species